CAGAGGUUAUCUGSUAUUYAAGGRUUCCGACGGAUGAAGCCAUGCGAGUUGAAUGUUCUUCGUGAACAUGGCGGACUGCUCAGUAACACGUGGACAACCUACCCUUGGGUCCGGCAUAAUCCUGGGAAACUGGGAAUAAUUCCGGAUAGGUCACCGAUGCUGGAAUGCGCGGUGGCCGAAAGCUCCGGCGCCCGAGGAUGGGUCUGCGGCCUAUCAGGGUUGUAGUGGGUGUAACGUACCUACUAGCCUACGACGGGUACGGGUUGUGAGAGCAAGAGCCCGGAGAUGGAUUCUGAGACACGAAUCCAGGCCCUACGGGGUGCAGCAGGCGCGAAAACUUUACAAUGCGGGAAACCGUGAUAAGGGGAUCUCGAGUGCCAGCAUAUAAUGUUGGCUGUCCAGAUGCCUAAAAAGCAUCUGUUAGCAAGGGCCGGGCAAGACCGGUGCCAGCCGCCGCGGUAACACCGGCGGCCCGAGUGGUAACCGCUAUUAUUGGGUCUAAAGGGUCUGUAGCCGGCCAGGUAAGUCCCUUGGGAAAUCUGGCAGCUCAACUGUCAGGCUGCUAGGGGAUACUGUUUGGCUUGGGACCGGGAGAGGUGAGAGGUACCUUGGGGGUAGGGGUGAAAUCUUGUGAUCCUCGAGGGACCACCAGUGGCGAAGGCGUCUCACCAGAACGGGUCCGACGGUAAGGGACGAAAGCUAGGGGCACGAACCGGAUUAGAUACCCGGGUAGUCCUAGCCGUAAACGAUGCUCGCUAGGUGUCAGUCACGGUGCGACCGUGAUUGGUGCCGUAGGGAAGCCGUGAAGCGAGCCACCUGGGAAGUAUGGCCGCAAGGCUGAAACUUAAAGGAAUUGGCGGGGGAGCACAYAYAWCSGGUGGAGCCUGCGGUUUAAUUG
rnacentral:rRNA from 1 species